rnacentral:miRNA from 1 species
UUUAAAUCAUAUACUUUUGGU